rnacentral:rRNA from 1 species
UACAGAGGUCUCAAGCGUUGUUCGGAUUCAUUGGGCGUAAAGGGUGCGUAGGCGGCGCGGUAAGUCGGGUGUGAAAUCUCGGAGCUUAACUCCGAAACUGCAUUCGAUACUGCCGUGCUUGAGGACUGGAGAGGAGACUGGAAUUUACGGUGUAGCGGUGAAAUGCGCAGAUAUCAGGAGGAACACCAGCGGCGAAGGCGGCGCUCUGGGCCGGUACUGACACUGAGGAGCGAAAGCGUGGGUAGCAAACAGG